rnacentral:sRNA from 1 species
CUGAGGUGUAUUUCCGGUCGUGCUGGGGCUGAGAGAGACCACAGCCCUUUGGGGGAUACAAGCAAGAGUUAAGUUGCUGUGAAUUCUGCCACCGUGCCCAGCUCUGAAGCCUCAGCUCUUGCCAAACAGACCCAUGUCAGCCCCGCUGGAUGCCGCCCUCCGCGCCCUUCAGGAGGAGCAGGCCAGACUCCAGAUGAGGCUGCAGGAGCUGCAGCAGCUGAGAAAGGAGCUCGGGGACUCCCCCAAAGACAAGGUAAGGUGGGAGACCUGGUGUUCGGUAAAAAAAGAGCUGGCGAGGCCGGGUGCGGUGGCUCACACCUGUAAUCCCAGCACUUUGGUAGGCCAAGGGGGGCUAAUCACCUGAGGUCAGGAGUUUGAGACCAGCCUGGCCAACGCAGUGAAAUCCCAUCUCUACUAAAAAUAUAAAAAUUAGGCCGGGCGCAGUGGCUCACGCCUGUAAUCCCAGCACUUUGGGAGGCCGAGGCUGGUGGAUCACCUGAGGUCAGUUUGAGACCAGCUUGGCCAACAGGGUGAAACCCCGUCUCUACUAAAAAUACAAAAAUUAGCCGGGUUUGGUGGCACAUGC